rnacentral:rRNA from 1 species
UACGGAGGGGGCUAGCGUUGUUCGGAAUUACUGGGCGUAAAGCGCACGUAGGCGGCUUUGUAAGUUAGAGGUGAAAGCCCGGAGCUUAACUCCGGAACUGCCUUUAAGACUGCAUCGCUAGAAUUGUGGAGAGGUAAGUGGAAUUCCGAGUGUAGAGGUGAAACUCGUAGAUAUUCGGAAGAACACCAGUGGCGAAGGCGACUUACUGGACACAUAUUGACGCUGAGGUGCGAAAGCGUGGGGAGCAAACAGG